rnacentral:lncRNA from 1 species
UUUUUUGUUUUCUUUUUUAUGAUCACUUGAGGUUAAUUCAACCGUCUUUGAUCCAAAACUGUUGAUAGAUGAUCAUGAAUCAUCUUCAAUACUUUGCAUCAGUGAUAGGUUCAACCACUAUUUUUGAUAUUUUGAGUCAUUUGGUUUGUGGAUAGAAUGAUCCCUCUCUGAUUGGCUUGAUUCUUCUUUUCACUCUUUCUAACUUCAUCUCCUCUCUUAUUUUUAAUCAUUGUGUUACAUGUGUUAGGAGAUUAAAUUUGUAUUAAUUCCCUAGUAUGUCUGACCCAUACAUUAUUAUUGACUGAACUCAGAU